rnacentral:rRNA from 1 species
UACGAAGGGUGCAAGCGUUACUCGGAAUUACUGGGCGUAAAGCGUGCGUAGGUGGUUUGUUAAGUCUGAUGUGAAAGCCCUGGGCUCAACCUGGGAACGGCAUUGGAAACUGGCUUACUAGAGUGCGGUAGAGGGGUGUGGAAUUCCCGGUGUAGCAGUGAAAUGCGCAGAUAUCGGGAGGAACAUCUGUGGCGAAGGCGACACCCUGGACCAGCACUGACACUGAGGCACGAAAGCGUGGGGAGCAAACAGG